rnacentral:rRNA from 1 species
UACGUAGGGUGCAAGCGUUGUCCGGAAUUAUUGGGCGUAAAGAGCUCGUAGGCGGUCUGUCGCGUCUGCUGUGAAAAUCAGGGCUCAACCCUGGACCUGCAGUGGGUACGGGCAGACUAGAGUGCGGUAGGGGAGAUCGGAAUUCCUGGUGUAGCGGUGAAAUGCGCAGAUAUCAGGAGGAACACCGGUGGCGAAGGCGGAUCUCUGGGCCGUAACUGACGCUGAGGAGCGAAGCAUGGG